AGAGUUUGAUCAUGGCUCAGGAUGAAUGCUGGCGGCGUGCCUAACACAUGCAAGUCGAGCGGCAGCGAGGGGUGCUUGCACCCUGUCGGCGAGCGGCGAACGGCUGAGUAACGCGUAGGAAUUUGCCCCAAAGUGAGGAAUAACUGCCCGAAAGGGUAGCUAAUGCCGCAUAUGGUCUUCGGAUUAAAGGAUUUAUCCGCUUUGGGAGAAGCCUGCGUUGGAUUAGGUUGUUGGUAGGGUAAUGGCCUACCAAGCCGACGAUCCAUAGCUGGUCUGAGAGGAUGAUCAGCCAGACUGGAACUGAGACACGGUCCAGACUCCUACGGGAGGCAGCAGUGAGGAAUCUUCCACAAUGGGCGAAAGCCUGAUGGAGCAACGCCGCGUGAAGGAUGAAGGCCUUCGGGUUGUAAACUUCUUUUAUGAGUGAAGAAUAUGACGGUAACUCAUGAAUAAGCACCGGCUAACUACGUGCCAGCAGCCGCGGUCAUACGUAGGGUGCAAGCAUUAUCCGGAGUGACUGGGCGUAAAGAGUUGCGUAGGCGGUUUAAUAAGUGAAUAGUGAAACCUGGUGGCUCAACCAUACAGACUAUUAUUCAAACUGUUAAACUCGAGAAUGGUAGAGGUAACUGGAAUUUCUUGUGUAGGAGUGAAAUCCGUAGAUAUAAGAAGGAACACCAAUGGCGUAGGCAGGUUACUGGGCCAUUUCUGACGCUAAGGCACGAAAGCGUGGGGCGCGAACCGGAUUAGAUACCCCGGUAGUCCAA
rnacentral:rRNA from 1 species